GCCCGCUCUGUGUGAGCCGCGGGAGCCGUCUCCGGCGAGGCCUUCCCGUGCGCCGCCUGCCCUGGGAAAUGUCUGCGUGGGCAGCGAAGCCCCAGGAGCCUCUGGGGGUCUGGGGGAAGUCGUCACGUUUCGCUCGUGUUUCGUGACUUUUGGCUGGUAGCCUGCAACUUCUGGAUAUCUGUGGAUUACUUCUAAAAGGUUCAAAAGAGGUGUGGUGGGACUCUCAAACUAUGAAUGAACUUUGGACCUGCUGCGGGGAAGGGGAACCAAACCUGUAUCUGCUGUUGGCCUUGCCACCUCUUGUUGGAAGAUGCCUCUUCUGUUUAAGAAGAGGAUGUUGCCACUUCUGCACAGGACCAGGCAUUUGGAGAUGGGAGAUGCUGCCACUGUGUAACCAGGACUUGUCUGCUGAUAAAGCCAGAACUCCUUGCACUAAGACAAAGAACAGUGAUUGUCCUAUACAGGCUUGUCUACCUGCUUUGCACAGUGUCCUUUGGUUCUGCGUAUCCGCUCUUUCUCCUGUGUUUCUUCCUUUGUCAGAAAACAGACAAAUGGCUGAAGUAAUCAAAGUCUAG
rnacentral:lncRNA from 1 species